rnacentral:misc_RNA from 1 species
AAAGUCGUAACAAGGUUUCCGUAGGUGAACCUGCGGAAGGAUCAUUACCUUUCUGGCUAUUUAAUAGCUUGUCUGGGGGCUGCAGUUUCUGCAGUCUCUGACUACAUCAGUUUGUUUUUGCGUACUACAUUCGUUUCCUCGGGCUGGGCUUUGCCUUGGUCCGGUUGGACAAACUAAAACUCUUUGCAAUUGCAAUCAGCGUCUGAAUUAUAUAAUAAUUACAA